UCUUGGUCAGGAUGAACGCUAGCUACAGGCUUAACACAUGCAAGUCGAGGGGCAGCAUGAAGUUGCUGCAAACUUGAUGGCGACCGGCGCACGGGUGAGUAACGCGUAUCCAACCUGGCCCGCAGUAGGGAACAGCCCGGCGAAAGUCGGAUUAAUGCCCUAUGUCUUCCUUUGCAGGCAUCCAAUGAGGAAGAAAGAUUUAUCGCUGCGGGAUGGGGAUGCGUCUGAUUAGCUUGUCGGCGGGGUAACGGCCCACCGAGGCGACGAUCAGUAGGGGUUCUGAGAGGAAGGUCCCCCACACUGGUACUGAGACACGGACCAGACUCCUACGGGAGGCAGCAGUGAGGAAUAUUGGUCAAUGGGCGAGAGCCUGAACCAGCCAAGUAGCGUGCAGGAACCGACUGCCCUAUGGGUUGUAAACUGCUUUUAUGCGGGGAUAAACUUCAGCACGUGUGCUGUUUUGCAGGUACCGCAUGAAUAAGGACCGGCUAAUUCCGUGCCAGCCGCAGC
rnacentral:rRNA from 1 species